CUACUAUGUUCAGAGUUUGAUCCUGGCUCAGAACGAACGCUGGCGGCAUGGAUUAGGCAUGCAAGUCGAACGAAGCAGCAAUGCUUAGUGGCGGAAGGGUGAGGAACGCGUGAGUAAUCUGCCCUCAAGUUGGGAAUAACAGUUGGAAACGACUGCUAAUACCGAAUGUGGCUUCUGAACCGCAUGGUUCUAAGGCUAAAGAUUUAUUGCUUGAGGAUGAGCUCGCGUCCCAUUAGCUAGUUGGUGAGGUAACGGCUCACCAAGGCGAUGAUGGGUAGCUGGUCUGAGAGGAUGGUCAGCCACACUGGGACUGAGACACUGCCCAG
rnacentral:rRNA from 1 species